rnacentral:rRNA from 1 species
AGUGAACGCUGGCGGUAGGCCUAACACAUGCAAGUCGAACGGAAGCACAGUAAGUGCUUGCUCUUACGGGUGGCGAGUGGCGGACGGGGGAUGGAUAUAUCGGAAGCUACUGGUUCGUGGGGGAUAACGCAGGGACACUUACGCUAAUACUGCAUACGACCUACGGGUGAAAGCAGGGGAUCUUAGGACAUUGGGCGAGUGAAGGAGCCGAGGUCGGAUUAGCUAGUUGGCGGGGUAAAGGCCCACCAAGGCGACGAUCCGUAGCUGGUCUGAGAGGAUGAUCAGCCACACUGGAACUGAGACACGGUCCAGACUCCUACGGGAGGCAGCAGUGGGGAAUAUUGGACAAUGGGCGCAAGCCUGAUCCAGCCAUGCCGCGUGGGUGAAGAAGGCCUUCGGGUUGUAAAGCCCUUUUGUUGGGGAAGAAAAGCAGUAAGUUAAUACCCCGCUGUUCUGACGGUACCCAAAGAAUAAGCACCGGCUAACUUCGUG